AACGAACGCUGGCGGCAUGCCUAACACAUGCAAGUCGAACGAAGGCUUCGGCCUUAGUGGCGCACGGGUGCGUAACGCGUGGGAAUCUGCCCUUGGGUUCGGAAUAACAGCUGGAAACGGCUGCUAAUACCGGAGGAUGACGAAAGUCAAAAGAGUUAUCGCCAGAGGAUGAGCCCGCGUUGGAUUGGGUGGUUGGUGGGGUAAAGGCCUACCAAGCCGACGAUCCAUAGCUGGUCGGAGAGGAUGAUCCGCCACACUGGGACUGAGACACGGCCCAGACUCCUACGGGGGGGUGCAGUGUGUAGUACUGGACGAGGGGGGCAAGCGUGAUCCAGCAGUGCCGCGUGAGUGAUGAAGGCGCUAGGGUUGUAAAGCUCUUUUACCCGGGAAGAUAAUGACGGUACCGGGAGAAUAAGCCCCGGCUAACUCCGUG
rnacentral:rRNA from 1 species